CACCUGGGUGGCGCAGUCGGUUAAGUGUCCGACUUCAGCCAGGUCACGAUCCCACGGUCCGUGAGUUCGAGCCCCGCGUCGGGCUCUGGGCUGAUGGCUCAGAGCCUGGAGCCUGUUUCCGAUUCUGUGUCUCCCUCUCUCUCUGCCCCUCCCCCGUUCAUGCUCUGUCUCUCUCUGUCCCAAAAAUAAAAAAAGUCGAAAAAAAAUUUAAAAAAAAAAAAAAAAAGAAAAUGUCAUUUCCUUUCUGUCCUUCCCAAGUGCCAGGAUGGUCCGUUUUCUCUUCCUAUCCAGAAGUGGUGGGUAGGGAGGCAGAAAACAUUUUAAGGAAAGUCCAGGUUCAGUGAUGGGCACACAGGGUGUGUCUGGCUGUUUCUCAUGGUGAUGGCAGUGAUCUCACCAUCUGGUCUCAGGUGAGCAUUUUUCCAAAUGCCUAAGGGAAAAGCUAGUUUUACUAAGUAUUUGCUCUGUGCUUUACAUGUAUUCAUACCUCUAUUUCUUAGGACAACAACACCUGGAAGGAAUGAUUAUUCUCUCCGUGUCACAGAGGAGAAUACCGAAGAAGGCGAUGUGUCAAGGUCACGCAGCUUGGAGGUUUGGCAGAUUCCAGAGGCUGAGCACAUCAUGCCUGUGCUGUGGAGUAAGAAACAAGCUGUGUUAUUUUCCCGUAGGUCUUUGUCUCCUCCAUCCUCUCCGGAGAGAAUGUCAAGGAGGCUUCUGGAAACUCAGAGCUCUGUGGCGGCUCAACCCUGCUGGAAGAUGGGAGCUGUUGAUCGUACACAGAUGACUGGAUACAGCUCUCAUUCUCUUGGAGUGUUAUGCCUGCUUCUCCCUCAGGAGAAGCUGGUCCCCGUGGCCCACAAUAGAUCCACUCUAAUAAGCGUUUUGAGGGUCAACAAGCCAUAGAGUGAGUAGCUUCUGCCAUUAAGCCAAUUCUCUUUCCUCUUUCUUCACAUCUCUGAUAUCAACCCCUUCCUUCCAGAACCUUUCGAUCUGUCGGAUUUCUUUCAGUGGCUGGGUAGGGUAACCACAUUGUCAUCACAAAUUUUGGGAGCUUCUCUCCCUGGUCCCACCCUCCUCACCUUAGCAGCUUGGGCCAUAGACUGAGAUUCUCAUUCUUCAUUUCUAUCCAAACUCUAGUGGGAGGUGAAGAGGGCCAUGGGAGAAGAGGUGGUUGCUCUUUUUAGAGAAUAAAGGCUUGUUGCAAAAAAAAAAAAAAAAAAAA
rnacentral:lncRNA from 1 species